AAUAAGUGUUAAUUAUAUUAGUGCUUGAAGAUUAAACCACUUCCCGCUCUCCUGGAAUUUAAGACUACAUUA
rnacentral:snoRNA from 1 species